GACGAACGCUGGCGGCGUGCUUAACACAUGCAAGUCGAGCGGUAAGGCCCUUUCGGGGGUACACGAGCGGCGAACGGGUGAGUAACACGUGGGUGACCUGCCCUCAGCUCUGGGAUAAGCCUGGGAAACCGGGUCUAAUACCGGAUAUGACUCCAUGACGCAUGUUGUGGGGUGGAAAGCCUUGUGCGGCUGAGGAUGGGCCCGCGGCCUAUCAGCUUGUUGGUGGGGUGAUGGCCUACCAAGGCGACGACGGGUAGCCGGCCUGAGAGGGCGACCGGCCACACUGGGACUGAGACACGGCCCAGACUCCUACGGGAGGCAGCAGUGGGGAAUAUUAGCAAUGGACGAAAGUCUGACUAUGCGACGCCGCGUGCAGGAUGAAGGUUUUCGGAUCGUAAACUGCUUUGUCUGGAAAGAAGCCUAUUUUGUUAAUAACAAAAUANCUGACGGUACCAGACGAAUAAGCCACGGCUAACUCCGUAGCCA
rnacentral:rRNA from 1 species